UUGAAUAGGUCAGCAGUCAUUUCUAACCCUAAUUAUUUGUGUGCAGCCUCUCCGUAGUUUGCUGUUUUGCUGGCUUUCAGUAAACUAGAGGAUGUUGGAUAUCGAGGCCGUUUUUCUUUAAAAAAGUCUAGAUUGUGCUGACCAUUCGCUCAUGCCCUUGGGUGGUAGUGUCUUUCUAUGGCCGUGGUCAGCUUACGCUGCCUCGAAGAGUUCGUCUCUGUGCCGGACACUGCUCCCGGGGAAAUUGCCGAGCAGGACUUGAGCAGAGUAAAAUUGAGCAGUGAGGAAGCUUUUGCGUUUCCCAGAGUCUUGGGAUCCGCGAGCAAUGAUCUGCUCAGACAAAU
rnacentral:telomerase_RNA from 1 species